CAUAUUCCCAAACAGGAAAACUGGGAUCACAUGAUUUGAAAGUGGGAUAGCUUCUUCAUCCUAACUCCUAUGAGAUUUAUUGAACUUCCGGUGAUUCUCCACUACUUUAUGUAUCCAAAAACAGCUUCUCACAUCGCGAUUCAUCCUGGUCUGAUUAUAAUGACGAAGAACUUGUCAUAUUCCCAAACAGGAAAACUGGGAUCACCUAAUUUGAAAGUGGGAUAACUUCUUCAUCCUAACUCCUAUGAGAUUUAUUCAAUUUCCUGGGAUUUUCCACUACUUUAUGUAUCCAAAUACAGCUUCUUACAUUGCGAUUCAUCAUGGUUUGAUUAGAAUAACGAAGAACUUGUCAUAUUGCCAAACACGAAAACUAGGAUCACCUAAUUUGAAAGUGGGAUAGUCUCUCCAUCCUAAUUCCAAUGAGAUUUUUCAACUUCCUUGGAUUCUCCACUACCUUAUGUAUCCAAAUACAGCUUCUCACAUCGCGAUUCAUCCUGGUUUGAUUAGAAUGACGAAGAACUUGUUAUAUUCCCAAACAGGAAAACUGAAAUCACCUGAUUUGAAAGUGGGAUAACUUCUUCACCUUAACUCCUAUGAGAUUUAUUCAACUUCCUGGGAUUAUCCACUACUUUAUGUAUCCAAAUACAGCUUCUCACAUCGCGAUUCAUCGUGGUUUGAUUAGAAUGACGAAGAACUUGUCAUAUUCCCAAAUAGGAAAACUGGGAUCACCUGAUUUGAAAGUGAGAUAGCUUCUUCAUCCUAACUCCUAUGAGAUUUAUUCACUUUUGAGGGGAUUUUCACUACUUUAUGUAUCCAAAUACAGCUUCUUACAUCGCGAUUCAUCAUGGUUUGAUUAGAAUGACGAAG
rnacentral:lncRNA from 1 species